UAUUGCACAAUGGGGGGAAACCCGUGAUGCAGCGACGCCGCGUGAGUGAAGAAGUAUUUCGGUAUGUAAAGCUCUAUCAGCAGGGAAGAAAAUGACGGUACCUGACUAAGAAGCCCCGGCUAACUACGUGCC
rnacentral:rRNA from 1 species